UAUAAACGACUUACUGCGCAUGUGUAGGCUUGUCCCCUUGCUAGGGCUCCCUCUAGUGGUGAACAGCGGUACUACACAUGUGCGGUUUAUACACCAGGUGUUAGUUGACCGUUAAUAUGCUAAUGAGGUGAUUCAUUCUCCGCCAAUCCCUGGAGGACAAGUAGUGGGGUGAUCCAAGCCCCACCAAUCCCUGAGAGAUAAUUAGCAUACUGUUGUCUAUAUAAGCCGAGCGAUUUUGCUGCUCAGGGUCCCUGUUCAAGAGAGCUGUAACACUAAGAAAGCUAUAACACUAAGAAGAGCUGUAACACAGUAAAGGCUUGUUCGCAGAAGAAUCCUGUUGCCGCGCGUCGUUCUUACUGGCGGGACAUUAGGCGCGCGACAGUUAUUCUUUUAUAUAUUGAACUAAAGACAUCAUAUAAGGAAGAUGUGCAGCCCUCGUACCCAACAUCUUCUGGUCGCAGCUGCAGCAAUGCUGGGCCCUCCUGAGGCAAGGACGCAGAACUCCACGGAAAACCAUUGAAGAUAUCACUCAAGGAACCCACGUGGUGAAGAUUAUCCAGAAUUAUGACAACAGGGAGCUCUACCCCAUUAUUGUCUGCACUGCACUGCUCAGCCAGGUUGGCAAGAUACUGCUGCAAUUCCUUAAAGACACAGAACAUACCCGUCAGAGACGAGGCUCCAGCUCAUAUUACUGCUCUAUUACUUAUUCAAGAGUUUCUUCCCAUCACUGCUUCCCAGCGUCAUGUUCUAUUUAAAUAUUCCUGAAAAUCCUACCCCUGAUCAUGUAGCUGUAAGAAAAUAUGAACCGAUCUAAUAACAAUAUCUUUGCUCUUCUGAAAGCAAAAAGGUAUUAAAAUAGAACUUGUGUAGAGUUCUGGCAUGUCAACACUGAAGAGGAAAAGCCAAAGAGAACAUAGGGUGUGCCCUAGAGACCUCAGAGUUCUUUUAUCUUUGGGCUGGAAAGGAAAGCACAGCAGUGACUAAAAGGCUUUCAUGUGAAGAUAUAAAGAAAGAGGAUCACAGGAGACAUUAAACAUGCAGAUGGGAACAAAUGAGCAACUUUCUACUGAAGCUCAGCGAAGACUCAGGAUUUCCCCCUCAGUUUCUAUGUCAUUCUUCAGGGCAGAUGACAAAACGUGAGGCGACCACAAUUUGCAUAAUACUUAAUUCCAAGUAAAUAUUCAGAAUUGAGAGGAUGCAUGUGUUUGAGUUUGAGAUACCCACUGCACUCUAUGUAUAUUACUGUUUGGGAAUGAUUUUGAACCAAGGUUUAUGUGUGUCGUAGGAGAGAGGGUAUGUACUUGUGCACAAAAAUCUUCAUUGGGAACAAAGGGUUAUAAUUAAUAAUUAAUAAGUAUGUGUGCUACCUUUGAUAGAUGUAUAAUAUAACAUAACAAGAGAAGACAAAAGAAACACAAAAGAACCCACAAAUAUUUAUCUUUGAGUUCUUACCACAACCCUACAAUUUCCUUCAUUUAAAGUUUAGAAAUCAAAAUAAAGGUCUAGAGGAAUUCAGUAAUAGUUCCUAGUCCCCUCAGUACUUGGUGAUCCCUCCCCCACUGGGAUGGGUCCAUUUAGUUCCACCACUUGGCUUAUUUGAAGAAUCCAUUGGCGUUGGGAGUAACAGUACUUUUGAAAAUGUGCAAAUCUCAAAUACUAUGUUCUGUGUCUACUCAGAGGCUUUGCUGUUGUGCACUUACUUGCUAAUUAGCAGGCUUCAAGGAACUGACUCUUAUCUAGUGUCUACUAAUAUCAUCAAUUGACUCAUUGACUGAGGUGUUGAUACUAGAGGGUCUGAUGGAAGAGUGUCCUUGAGACACCUUUAAAGGGCAUCCCUAUUAUUCACAAAACUUCCCUUAUUUCUCUCUGAUCUCUGGUUACCAGGAUACAUACAUCUCCACCUCACCACGUCCUCUGGGUUCCAUGAUGUUCUAUGUUGCCAGGUUCAGCAAGGGGCCCUGAAGACCACAAACUGAGCUCUCAGACAGUGAGGGAAAGAAUAAAUCUUUCCUCCCUCUAAGUUUACUACAGCUCUUUUAUUACAGUGACAAUAAUUGACCAACAUGUGAAAAGGCUUAUAGAGUUGACGUCAUCCAAAUAGGGCAUUUUGAAAACUGUGGCAUGACCCUCUCUCACUAGGACUCCAUCAAUGUAAUGGUUAUAACAGAUGCACUUUCCAAGAGCACUCAUGUAGUAGCAGCUGAGAUUUUAACACACACAACUGGUAAAACCAGUGUACUGUUAUGAGCCUGUUAGCCACCACCUGGUUCCUAUUCUAGCACUCUUUACUUUAGUAAACAUAGGAGAAAAUGCUGGUGAGCCUCACAUGACGAUGUAAGAACAGAAUGGUUGGAUUGGUGUAGCUUAUUCAAACUGUGGUCUACAGCAACUUUCUUCACUUUCCCAAACUUUUCAAGCAGAAUUUCUCUAGAGACAUGAUAUAAGCAAAUUAUUUCUGCUUUGCCAGAUUCUGUGCAUUAUAGCUAUUCCCAAAUCAACCUGAUUCCUGCAAUGUCCCAGUUAAUUUAUGUCCGUUUAUUGAUGCUUAAACCAAUACAGCCUGGCUCAGCCUGUGAAGUCAUUUAACUCUCUUGUUUCCAUAGCACCGCAGAUACCAGCUGCCCUUUGUGUCUAACCCUUUGUGCAAAUACAUCUAAGGGAAAUCAGCAACAGAGGUUCUGACAUCUCAUAAACCCAUGGCCUUUCCAAGUGACUUUCCAAAUGACUGUUCGCACAACCAGCUUUUGUAUGCACAUUAGUUAAAGCAGAGUUUGUCCAUCUACUAGAUUAUAAUUUUAGUGGACAGCAUCAAUGGUCAUUAUUUUCUUAUGUGAAAUGCAGGUUGCCCCUAAGUUUAAACCCUGGUGGCUUACCUUACUUGACUUGUGGUCCACAUUGAAAGUAGCAAUUGCAUCCUCUGUCUUUUUCCUCCCAGAUUUGGUUAUUACAUAUUCAGCAAGUUUGUUUGCUAAAUAGGUCUUUCCGGUACCACUUGGUCCUGAGAGUAUAAUUCUGUGGUGCUCCAUCAGCAAAUUAAAGUACCUUUGGGUAAUUGGUUUAGGAAUCAGCGUAUCAAAAACAAAACUGUCCAAACUAUUUUCUUCUACCCCUGAAGGAAGAAACAAAGGGGGUAAUAGGCAUUAUUGUUUCAGGGAAAUAACUGAAACAUAUUAUUAAGCCAAAAUAAAGCCUCGUUAGGCAUAGAAGUGUGCCCUUACAAAGUAAUUUUGUAGCUAUUUCUAACUCACAUGCAUCGGGUAUCAUUAGAAAAGAGGACAUAUUGAUUAGAAGGUACAGUGAAAAUCUGAGCUGUUUCCUUCACUGCCACCUGCAUAAUUCUAUUACUGCUUAGAGAACAAAAGAUAUAAAUUUAAUUUUGUUAAAAUAAUCAUUUAUUUAUUAAAAAUAAUUUGUCUUACAGCUGUAUUUACAGUGUUUCAUUUGAAAGGGAGAGAUGUAACAUUCUAUAGAAGCAAGAUGGGGAAAUAGCUGCGAGUAGUGAGUAAAAGGCAAUAUGAGUUCAAGGCCAGCAGAGACGACAUGCUGAAACCCAGUUUCGAAAAGCCAGAACUAAAGAGGAUAAUCCUUGCCUUCCUCCCCAUGUGUAUUAGCUUCUGUCAGUCAUAAAAGCUGUAUAACCCUUUAUGCUUUGGAAAAAAUACAAAUUACAGUAUUUGGUAAAGGAUUAAGAAGAGAGCAACAUUGUUUUUUCUUACUAACCCAAUUACUUUCAUCAUAAAACCAACUAUUGACUAAUCCCUCUAUUAUCCCACAGUUUAUGUAGGCACCUUCUCAUUCUUUUUUUAAAAAAUUGGAUAUAUUUCUUUAUUUACAUUUCUAAUGUCAUUCCCAUUCCCCGUUUCCUGUUCAUAAGCCCCCUAUCCCCUUCUCCUCUCCCAUAAGGGUAUUCUCCCCAUCCAUCCUCCCUUACCACCCCCCCCAACAUUCCCCUGCACUGGGGGUCUAACCUUGGAAGGACCAAGGGCUACACAUUCAAACAAGGAACUAGAGAGGUAGGCCGACAGCAGAUGUUAUAUUAGCUAUAACCAGUCACAAGAGUAGAACCCAGGAAGCAGCAUGCAUUAUGCCUGGCUCUUGGCUUUCAUUCUCCACCCCAAGGUGGAUGUUUACUGAAUACACAUAUUCUAUCUCCAAAACAUACUGAUGAACAUAUUAGUCCAGGAAACACAACAAUUUUCUUUGAAAGCUCUUCUUAUAAAGAUGAGGUAGAUAAAACAAUCUAGAAGCUGAAAUCCCCCAAAUUACCCUUCUUGUACAAGUGUUGGUGACUCUUCAGAACUUUAUUUACAGGAGUGAAAACAUUAAUUUAUUGAGAUUUUAAUGGUUUUAAUAGGAAUUUAUAUAGCAAGACAAACCAAUAAAUCUGGUUCAUACCAAAAUCAUGACAGAGGUCAGUACAAUGUUUAAUUUAUACAGACAUUAAUAAACUGUAAGUGCAAAUACAAAGGAGAGAUCGGGGGAAAGGUUAUGAUUUUCAUUUUACCUUUCAGGUUCACAGUGAUGAUAUUAUUAUCUCCAACCAGGUAUCCACAAGGUAGCAGUUCAGGCACUUCUAGGUUAUGAGAUCUAAUUAAAUCUCCUACACAGUAGCUGGCAAUACAGUCAGAGCUCAGACCAAGACUAGAGGAUGUAUCAAUUCGGAACACAUAUUCCUAAAACAGUCCACACCAAAGGGGGAAAAGGUCAAAACAGAACUUCAACUCAUCUGCAACAAAUAUCAAUUCCUGACAUGAAAGUACACACUGCUUGUGAAGAAUUUUGAGUCACAAUUUUCUCUAUGGCCAUGUCACCGUGAAUGCACGUGAUUUCCUCUGAUCUCAGAAGCUAAUUGCAGUUAGGCCUUUUCAUUACUUAGAGGGGAGACCAACCUGGGAUACCCAGUGCUGUGGGCUUUCUGGGUGGUGAGAUUACUCCAUGGUGAAGAACAACUGCUACUUUUCCAGAAGACCUGGGUUCAACUCCCAGCACCCCGAUGACAGUUCACAACCAUCUUUAAUUCAAAGGCCCAAGGGAUCUGAUGUCAUUUUUUUGGCCACAAAACUCAGGCAUGCAUAUGGUGGACAGACUCAUAUAUGGACCACUCAGACACAUAAAACAAAUACAUUUUUAAAAAUUAAAUAAAAUGAUGGCCUAUAUAAGAAUUUUUGUAGUAAACAGUACUGGAAAUAAAUCUUUCCAUAUGGAGAUGGGGUGGGAAGAAUCAGAUGCAUCUAAGCUAUGAAACAUAAGUACAGCAUCAAAAGGGGAAAAAUUAAAAUUGCUAUCAAGCUACUUUCAAAAACUUACCUUAAAGAGACGCCUAAUGACACCAUCUAAGACAUCCCAUUUAGUUUUUCCACUCACACCAAUCGAUCCUAUCAAAUAUGCCUGAGACUUCUGGUCCUUAAGGAGAACAAAACAAAGAUAAGACCCAAUAGUUUUAUUACUUUAUUACUACACUUCCUAAUUAAAUGUGUCAAUAUGGUUACUGUUUAAGGUGGUAUGUUGUGGCUUAUAUAAAAUAAAAUUUUACCCAGUGAGUUUGACAACAAAAGAAAUAAAGGCUAGAACAACAACAAGGAAGAAAAAGGCUUAGACGACUUGGUAGGCAAAAGGAAGCUGGUGCAUAAGCUGUUCAGGAGAAAGAGAAGAUGGCAGCCAACAGACCGAAUUGCUUUGCAUAGUAAUGCGCUUGACACACUCCUCCUCUGAGAACCCAUGGAGAAGGAAGAUAUAGAAGACAAUGGAUCUUGUCCAACAAAUCUAGAACUCUGUCUUAUUUUUUUUUUUUUUUUUUUUUGGAGAUGAGCAGGUUUAUUUAGCUUACUUUUCCAUGUCACAAUUCAUCUUUUUUUUUAUUUUAUUUUUUUUUAUUAUUAACUUGAGUAUUUCUUAUAUACAUUUCGAGUGUUAUUCCCUUUCCCAGUUUCCGGGCAAACAUCCCCCUCCCCCCUCCCCUUUCUUAUCGGUGUUCCCCUCCCCACCCUUCCCCCCAUUGUCCCCCUCCCCCCAACAGUCUAGUUCACUGGGGGUUCAGUCUUAGCAGGACCCAGGGCUUCCCCUUCCACUGGUGCUCUUACUAGGAUAUUCAUUGCUACCUAUGAGGUCAGAGUCCAGGGUCAGUCCAUGUAUAGUCUUUAGGUAGUGGCUUAGUCCCUGGAAGCUCUGGUUGCUUGGCAUUGUUGUACAUAUGGGGUCUCGAGUCUGCCCCACAUGUGGCCCAUGCAUAUACAGCCAUCCAAUUAGACAAGAUGGAUGAAGCAAAGAAGUGCAGACCGACAGGAGCCGGAUGUAGAUCGCUCCUGAGAGACACAGCCAGAAUACAGCAAAUACAGAACUCUGUCUUAUUACUUUACACUUUUUGUCUUCUUUAUCUUUGAUAAACCAAACACACAAUGUUUUCAUUUUUAACUGAAAUUAAAAAAAAACUAAUAUAUCAUUAACAACGAAUUUACCCAUGCUCUUAUGGGUACCAUAUUUACCUAUUUUAAAACAGGUAUGAUUUUGAAUUUGUUAGAAAAUUUCUAGGAGCCCAAAAGAGGACUUAUAGGACUCAUUAUGAGGCAUACUUUAAUAUGAUGGUCUCAUAUAUAAAUUAUUUAUAGGGUGGAUUAUUGAGGGCUUUUUCCCUAGGAAUAUGGGAAAUUCAAAAUCUUGCUAGCUGCAAUUAAGUUGCAAUAUUCUUUAUUUUUUUUUCGUGAGGUGGAAAUAAUUAUACCAUAUAAUAAUUAUGAUACCAGUGGGUAGACUUAGUUAACACAUUACAAUCCUAGUUUAAAAGUCUAGUGGCCAUUAAAAUGUAGUAAAAUAAUAAUUGAGCCAACGUUUAGAAUGCAUGGGUUCUACAUGCAACAUCUACCACCUCAUUAAGAAAUAUUAUCAGAAGUAAAUCACUCAGCUGACUUUAACCCUCAUUUUCUUUACCUAUAAUAUUUAACACAGGAAGUGUAAAUUGUCAUCCCUUUUUUACAGAGAUAAAAUAUGAGUUAAAAGUCAUCCUUCUACAUAGAAAAAGUUUGCAAAUAUUUAGCUAAGUGGUUUUGAUAUAAUUCAUUUUAGUACUAUUAGGGGCUGAAUAUAUUCCUUCAAUUCAUUUGUUGAUGUUCUCAUCUCCAGUGGAAUGAAACAGAGCAACCCAUUCUUUUGGAGACAUUUAGUGAGGACAUCAAAGCGGUACAAUCUCUCUCCUCCUAUCCAAGACCCCAGGAAAGGCACCAUACAUUCAGCCGAGAAGAUGACUAUCACAGUGCCUAUACCAGCAUCCAAAAUGGCUAGAAGCUUGGCCUUGAACUUGCCGGCCUCUGGAACUUGUAGAAAAUAACUUUUUAAAGCCAUCUCUAGCAUGACACUUUUUCAUGGCUGUCCUUGCAUAUCAAGAAAACUCUCCUGGGUUGUACUGGGAAAAGAUUCCGAAAUUUUCUUUAUGUUAUGUUUACAGGGCAGUGAAAAUGGGUGCGAGCACACUGCUCUCUGAUAGCCGCUUUUCAACUGGAAAUCAUUUAGGUUCCACUGAGACCCCUAGACAUAAAUGCCCACUUGUAAAAUCAGGCACAAGUCUGCAGCUCAGGCAGAAGAUUAUGAUGCAGGGUUUUGAUCGACAUUUGCAGAAGCAGUGUUUCCCUUUAAAAACUCAAGGACUUUAAUUAUUUUUAAUCUUUGAAUUUUUUUUUUUGGUUCUUUUUUUCAGAGCUGGGGACCGAACCCAGGGCCUUGCGCUUCCUAGGUAAGCGCUCUACCACUGAGCUAAAUCCCCAGCCCCUAAUCUUUGAAUUUUUAAUGUUUGAUUAAAAAUACAAAUAUGUAUUCUGGGCUACUAAGUAACAAUUCAUUUAAAAAGUUCUCUGAGUCUUAGGGCACCGAGCCAAAUAACAUUAAUUUGAAGAUAAAAUCUGAAUAUGGAAGUUAAAUAGUUCUCUGAUCAGAUAGGACUAGGCUUUAAAAGGACAUGGACAAAUAUCACUGAUGGACUUUGCUCGACUGAUUUCAGUAGACUGCCUCUCUGGCACAUCUUAACUACUAUAUUCAUUAUCUUAUGGUCUCUUGUCUGUACAGUGAUCACACAGCAGCUUUUGUGACCUGUGCAUGGAGAUGUUACUUAUUUGUCGUCUCUAUCUUUUCAUCGUAUGUAACACAUUCAGCUGGCACCAAGGCAGACAAAAUAGGGUAUCAGGAAGAACAAACCCUCAGACAGACAUGUAACACAAUUAAAUCAAUAAGAGCUCUCCUCCUUGACCUACAGAGAAUAAGAUCAUAUAGAAGAUUAGUGGAAUACCUUGGCUCGACCGUAGCCCUUACUGAUGGAUACUAUAAUUUUCACAGGGCGGCCAUCCUUAUGUCCAGUCGCAUCACCAGUGUCGUCUAGCAAAAUAUCUACAGAAUUCAAAAGAAGCCAUCACUACGGAAUAACAGAAGUUGCGCGCGAGAUAUUUGGUGCCGAAACCCGGGACAAAAAAGCUACAUCAUCGCUAGUGCCAAGAGGAGGCUCCGUUUCACGGAAGAAGUCCAGAAGCUGUGAGUGGGGGUAAGACUCUGAGAGACUAUGUUUAGCCUUGAUCUGUUCCAGCUCAGUCCUAUGGUUGCUCUGGCAGCCCUCGGGUUGUUUCUAUUGACCUUUGAGUUUCUAGUUACCACCAAACGGCAUCAGAGGUCGCAUGGGAACUGCCCAGCUGUAAUAGCAAAGCGGAGAGUGUUGGGGGAAGGGUGAGGCGGCAGAGUGUCAGAAACAGAGGGUAGUGAAAAGUUGCAACGAGAAAAGGAUCCUGACCGAUCUCAAGCACCAGGCCCUUCCAAUUCGGAAGUGAAAGAUUGGGGAAAGAACGCCCCGGGUGAGGAGAAGGGAGGAGAUAAAAGGAUAGCCUUAUAUUAUGUAAUUUUGUUGCUUCUUCAGUGUAAGAAGUUAGAACUUAAAUCUUUCAGUGUAUAUAGAAAUUUUUACUACAAACCUUUGCUCUCAAAAUGAGCUUUAAUAUUUGGGGAGUAGCUGUUACACUACUCCAGAUAAGAAUAUUUGAAACUAAUUUUAAGCUUCUAAGGAUAUGUUAAUUGCCAAAAUACCUCACGGUACCAGAGGACUUAAGCCUUUGUUAUGCACAUUGGAGAUAAAGCUUCAGCUGUGUUAGUACAGAGUUGUGGACUGGAGUCAUGGAAGUAUUUUGAAUAGAGACCUGGUAAAACAUAUCUUAUUCCAAACAACAGUUAAUUGAUUACUACAAAAUACUGAUAUUUGGCCUAUUACAUAUACAAAUUUUUCAGACAAAAUUGAUAAUUUUACUCUUUACAUGCUUUUGUACUUCCUGUAUAUUUGUGCAUACAACCCAUUACUGUAUUUAUAGGUGGUUCAUCUAAUGAAAAGGCUACAUGUAUGAUUGGAUCUCUCUUUAUUCUCUUGAGUUUCUAUUGCUUCAACACAGAUUAUUAAAUUCCGUAGUUUAGCCACUGUUUUUAAAUCAAACUUUCAAUUCACAUACUGAUAGCCAAUGUGUGGCUUGUGGUUUACAAUUGAUUUCAAUUACUUAAUGCUUUAUUAGAGACGGGUUUUCUAAUUAAAAUCAGUGAGUGAUUUCAGUGUAAAUUGUCUGACAACUCACUGUCCUUUCAGUGCUCUGGCUCAGACAACUAAACAAAAUCAUAGACCCAGCUCUUUAAAAAUGGUAAUGGAGUUGAUAACACACCCUUACGAAAAGAGGAAGACUCCAUUUGCUUACUUUCAACUCCCAGCCUCACCCUGCCAGCUCAGGGAUUUCUAGUACGACUGAAUCUAGACGAUAUUUACAAGAUUCGACAUUUCUAAUUAAUGCUUAUGUUUAGGUAAGUAAAGUUUGUGAGGUGCUAGAGAAAUGGCUUAGUGGUUAAGAGCACUAAGUACUGUUCCUUUAUAAGACAUUUAAGAACUCAAACUGGAUUGCCUGGGCUCUUUAGCAAGGGAGGACAAGAUACCAGACAGAUUAUAGGCCUUGCAUAGGAACAAUUAGUCAAAAAAUCUCAUUCUUUAUAUAUCCAAAACAAUAAUGCUGGAGACAAUAAUUUGGUAUACAAGUCAAUUUAUAAAUACAAGUGCUCAGUGUCCUCAAUUUAAUCCUCGAGGACUUACCUUAAUAAAUAAUAUCUUUACUAUAUCUUAAUAAAUAAAAAGGGGGAGUUAUCUCUGUAUGCUAAAUAAUGCUCCUUUUAUUUCAAUUUUAAAAUUUUGGAUGCCAAAGUUUAUGGCACCCUACAACUAGGCAUACUUUUGCCUAGGUGAAAUAGAGAGAUCCACUUAUUGACAUGAUCCUGUCCAGAUAUUUUAUAUGGGGAAGAGGGAAUGUUUGUGUUUUUUCUACAGGAUGCUACAAGAGUGUGCCAGCUGCCUGAGUGGUUGCUGAGACUUGCUGAUCCUGGUUGCAUAAAGAUUCAGCUCUCCUGGUUCGGGUCCCUGGAGUCAUUCCUCUGCCCUGAGAGGAAGAUAGAAGAUUCCCCUUCAUCACAGAGAUUUUGCCGUUGCUGCAGUCAGUGUUACCGCUGUGUGUGUCCCGUCCCACUAUGGCCUGCUCUCUGACCCUCUGUACACUGCUGCUUGCUGGAAAAGACUGGACUCCAGCCGUUGCUGUCCCCCUUCAUUUUCCCUGGUGACUCUUGCUGCCUUAACUGGUCAUUUUACAGACUGUAGCUUUACAGGAAUGCUACCUGCGUAAAGCUACAGUGGACUGGGGAACUCUGUCCUGGUUAUACAGAUCUCAGAAAUGGUUCCAUUGUCUGCUGGUUGUUCCAGAGAAAAAUGACUGAUCCUGAACUGUCCUGGAAAAGACCUUGACACUUUUGCUGCUAUUGUAGCAGCCAUUACUGCUGCAGACAUUGUGUCUGCAGUGUCUGGAGUUAUCCUCCCCCAAUCUAUUGUUAGACAAGUACAGUGGGUGAACUUUCUGGAGUAGUUACUAACAAUUGGGAAUUCUAAAUUUUAUUAUAGGAGCGGCUUGAAUACGGCCCUUGGUGGUAACAGCUGAGGAGGACCAAAUGAGGUGCCCACUACUUAUCGGGAGUGGCUCUGUCUGGUGCAGCCCUAUGCUGUGGAUCAGUGUUCAUACUAUGGUUGGUUUGCAAACUCAGAUCUCAACAGAAACGUGACAAGGCCAUUAUCACUCAAGCACUUGUGGCCAUUGUACAAGGGGCCUCCCCUGGAAUUUGGUUAUCUUGCUCAGGACUCUCUCUGUAUCUGAGUUCUCUGCUCCUGCACCCCAUGGAUCUGUGGAUCCAUUGCACUGGGAUGAGAGAGACUCAUUGAUCCUUUGAUCAGCCCUUCCACAUCGCUGAGGUUUCCUCAUUGCACGCGAUAGGGUGAUCAUGACUGCUAUAAAAUUAUAUAAAUUAUAAGGGUGAGAUGUAGAGGGCCGCAAUAACAUUCGCCACCACUAGAUGGCACUGGCUUCCACGUGGAAGGCCAGGAUAGCCUCCGCCAUUACAAGAUGGCGCCAGCCUUCGCCUCGCCAGCCGGCUUCCUUUCAGGAAGUUAACCAUGCGCAUGUGCAAGAGUGCCUUCGUGCCAGGUCUUUGCCCACUCCGGGGCGUGCCUUAUGAGAUCAUGAGUAAACAACCAAUCAGGUGUGGAUGCGCCGCACUAGGGUGUUUAUAAGCGCGCCAUGUUGGCGUGGCGGGCCUUCCUCUAUAAGAUUAUAAUAAAGUUGGUCACAGUAAGGA